GGGGUCAUGGCGCAGCUGGGAGCGCGCCUCGUUCGCAACGAGGAGGUCCGGGGUUCGAAUCCCCGUGACUCCACCA
rnacentral:tRNA from 1 species